rnacentral:rRNA from 1 species
UACAGAGGUCCCAAGCGUUGUUCGGAUUCACUGGGCGUAAAGGGUGCGUAGGUGGUGGGGUAAGUCGGAUGUGAAAGCUCGGAGCUCAACUCCGAAAUGGCAUUGGAAACUACCCUGCUAGAGGAUUGGAGGGGGGACUGGAAUACUUGGUGUAGCAGUGAAAUGCGUAGAUAUCAGGAGGAACACCGGUGGCGAAGGCGGGUCUCUGGGCAGUAACUGACGCUGAGGCACGAAGGCCAGGGGAGCAAACGGG